rnacentral:rRNA from 1 species
UACGUAGGGUCCGAGCGUUGUCCGGAGUUACUGGGCGUAAAGGGCGCGCAGGCGGCGGUGCUGGCCCGGCGUGAAAGCCCCCGGCUCAACCGGGGAGGGUCGUCGGGGACCGCACCGCUUGAGGGCGGUAGGGGCCGGUGGAAUGCCUGGUGUAGUGGUGAAAUGCGUAGAGAUCAGGCAGAACACCUGGGGCGAAGGCGGCCGGCUGGGGC